UCUCACUGCCAUACCACAGGAAAUGAAUGGAAAGCAGUUGUGAGUGCGUGAAGAAUGACAAGGCUCUACUACCUCCAAGGGAGGCACCACACAUCAAUUGUCUUACAUGUCCUGGGAUGUUUCCAAAGUAUUUCGAUAAAAGUCCUUGUCAAGUUAGGCCCACAACCUGACAAGUCCUUGCAGGGAAGAGCCAUAAUGAGGGCUACAAUAACUCAAUAGGAGGAAAAUAAGACCCAAAAAAUAAUGUUCACAGCACUUGGACCAACACUGUUCCAGCAGGUGCGGUGAAACAUAGCUGAGCAUGUGCUUGCCUACUGAGGA